rnacentral:rRNA from 1 species
UACGUAGGGUGCAAGCGUUGUCCGGAAUUAUUGGGCGUAAAGAGCUUGUAGGCGGUUUGUCGCGUCUGCUGUGAAAUUUCGGGGCUCAACCCCGAACUUGCAGUGGGUACGGGCAGACUAGAGUGUGGUAGGGGAGACUGGAAUUCCUGGUGUAGCGGUGAAAUGCGCAGAUAUCAGGAGGAACACCGAUGGCGAAGGCAGGUCUCUGGGCCAGCACUGACACUGAGGCACGAAAGCGUGGGGAGCAAACAGG